rnacentral:tRNA from 1 species
GCUCUCAUAGCUCAGUUUGUUAGAGCGCCCGUUUAGUAAGCAGCGGUCUUGAGUUCGACUUUCAACUAGAGCA